rnacentral:rRNA from 1 species
GACGAACGCUGGCGGCGUGCUUAACACAUGCCAGUCGAACGGUGAAGGGACCGGUUUUUGCUGGUUCUGGAUGAGUGGCGCACGGGUGAGUAACACGUGAGUAACCUGCCCCCUUCUUCUGGAUAACCGCAUGAAAGUGUGGCUAAUACGGGAUAUUCUGCGCCUGCUGCAUGGUGGGUGUGGGAAAGAUAUUGUUUCGGUGGGGGAUGGGCUCGCGGCCUAUCAGCUUGUUGGUGGGGUGAUGGCCUACCAAGGCGGUGACGGGUAGCCGGCCUGAGAGGGUGGACGGUCACACUGGGACUGAGACACGGCCCAGACUCCUACGGGAGGCAGCAGUGGGGAAUAUUGCACAAUGGGCGCAAGCCUGAUGCAGCGACGCCGCGUGAGGGAUGGAGGCCUUCGGGUUGUAAACCUCUUUCGCCAGUGAAGCAGGCCUGUCCCUUUUGUGGGUGGGUUGACGGUAGCUGGAUAAGAAGCGCCGGCUAACUACGUG